GACGAACGCUGGCGGCGUGCUUAACACAUGCAAGUCGAACGGAAAGGCCCUGCUUUUGUGGGGUGCUCGAGUGGCGAACGGGUGAGUAACACGUGAGUAACCUGCCCUUGACUUUGGGAUAACUUCAGGAAACUGGGGCUAAUACCGGAUAGGAGCUCCUGCUGCAUGGUGGGGGUUGGAAAGUUUCGGCGGUUGGGGAUGGACUCGCGGCUUAUCAGCUUGUUGGUGGGGUAGUGGCUUACCAAGGCUUUGACGGGUAGCCGGCCUGAGAGGGUGACCGGCCACAUUGCGACUGAGCUACGGCCCAGACUCCUACGGGAGGCAGCAGUGGGGAAUAUUGUACAAUGGGAGGAAGCCUGCCCCAGCAACGCCGCGUGGGGGAUGACGGCCUUCGGGUUGUAAACCGCUUUCGCCUGUGACGAAGCGUGAGUGACGGUACUGGGUAAAGAAGCACCGGCUAACUACGUG
rnacentral:rRNA from 1 species